CCUACGGGCGGCAGCAGUGGGGAAUAAUGGACAAUGGGGGCAACCCUGAUCCAGCCAUGCCGCGUGUGUGAAGAAGGCCCUCGGGUUGUAAAGCACUUUCAGUGAGGAAGAACGCCUGGUGGUUAAUACCCAUCAGGAAAGACAUCACUCACAGAAGAAGCACCGGCUAACUCCGUGCCAGCAGCCGCGGUAAUACGGAGGGUGCGAGCGUUAAUCGGAAUUACUGGGCGUAAAGCGCGCGUAGGUGGCUUGAUAAGCCGGUUGUGAAAGCCCCGGGCUCAACCUGGGAACGGCAUCCGGAACUGUCAAGCUAGAGUGCAGGAGAGGAAGGUAGAAUUCCCGGUGUAGCGGUGAAAUGCGUAGAGAUCGGGAGGAAUACCAGUGGCGAAGGCGGCCUUCUGGACUGACACUGACACUGAGGUGCGAAAGCGUGGGUAGCAAACAGGAUUAGAUACCCUAGUAGUC
rnacentral:rRNA from 1 species